rnacentral:misc_RNA from 1 species
GCAAACUUGGUCAUUUAGAGGAAGUAAAAGUCGUAACAAGGUUUCCGUAGGUGAACCUGCGGAAGGAUCAUUACUUAGAGUACCGGGCUUCGGCCUGGCUACUUUUACCCAUGUUUUUUCAGUACCAAAGUUUCCUCGGCGGCUCACCCCGCCGGCUGGACUCCAUUCAAACCUCUUGCAGUUGCAGUCAGCGUCUGAUAAACCUAAUAAUUAAAACUUUCAACAACGGAUCUCUUGGUUCUGGCAUCGAUGAAGAACGCAGC